rnacentral:hammerhead_ribozyme from 1 species
AUGCAGCUGAUGAGUUCCAAAUAGGACGAACCAUGUGUCCUGGAU